AUUGAACGCUGGCGGCAGGCUUAACACAUGCAAGUCGAACGGUAACAGAGAAGUGCUUGCACUUUUGCUGACGAGUGGCGGACGGGUGAGUAAUGCUUGGGAAUUUACCUUGUUGUGGGGGACAACAGUUGGAAAACGACUGCUAAUACCGCAUAAUGUCUUUGGACCAAAGGUGGCCUCUAUUUAUAUGCUAUCGCGACAAGAUGAGCCCAAGUUGGGAUUAGCUAGUUGGUAAGGUAAUGGCUUACCAAGGCGACGAUCCCUAGCUGGUCUUAGAGGAUGACCAGCCACACUGGAACUGAGACACGGUCCAGACUCCUACGGGAGGCAGCCAGUGGGGAAUAUUGCACAAUGGGGGAAACCCUGAUGCAGCCA
rnacentral:rRNA from 1 species